GCAAAGUGAUAAUGCCAUAAUGUUUCUAUUCUAUAUGUUUGAGUUAGUCCCUUCCAAGUGGUUUCAUGAUAUUUAGGGGGGCACCUUCUGAAUGUUAAUGCUUUGUUUUGCUUGGAUUAUCUUGUUUGUCUGGAGAUUUGAUCAGUUUUAGCCAAAUGUUUGUGCAUAUAUGUGUAUGCAUGUGUAAGAGAGCAUUUUAAA
rnacentral:misc_RNA from 1 species